rnacentral:lncRNA from 1 species
GGUCAGUCAUAAGACUGACAUAUAUGAAAGGAGAUAUCUCAAGUCACACAUCAGACCCACACUGAUACCUCCACUGAUCUGAGCCUGGUACACGCUGCUCUCUCCUGCCCGCGGUGUCUGUCUAAUGUCUCCUUGGAAUGUCUCAUCUCUCUGUGCGUCAGUGUGAUUAGACCCGCCGAAGAAAGCAGUGAUUGGAUCCUGUGGGUUGCUUUAGCUAAGCCUAUUUUAAGGACAUCGGAGACUAAGGGUAUAUCAUUUCGCAUUCUUACGCUUUUCUAUCAUUAUUGUCAUCAUCGUCGUCAUUGUCAUUGUCGUCAUCAUCAUCAUCAUCAUCAUCCUCAUUCAUGAAUUUUAGGUCUUGAUUGUGCAUAAUAUUCAUCUGUUAAAUACUUGAUUACCCAGCCCGUGGGACUGUUGGGAGGUAGUUGGACACUUCUGAGAACAUUCUCAUCUGUCAUGAUGUCACUGGUUGAUAAAACACAUAAGACCACCAAGUCUAAUCACGUCUGUGGGUUUCCAAUGUGCUUUAUAGCUAAAGAAUUCCUGUCCCUGUGCACUUUCAAAGAUCACCAUACAGAGCAGGCAAGGAGAGACACAUCUGUCAGCAAAAAGGAAGCCUUGAAGCAUACAGCUCUCUAACUUGAUGAAUAGUUGUGAAAUUUUCAAGAAGAGAUCAGAAUCAAACAACUGUCAACAUACAAGAUAUGAAUUUGACUUCCUGGAUAUGAUUUUACUUUUUAGCAAAAUGAUAGGUUUGUGCUGAGAGACAGAGAGGCGUUCUAUUGUGCAAUUCAAUUUGCAGGGAUUUAUGUCAGCCUGGUGGAAAGGAGAACAAUUAGCGUGGCAGUGCCAGUACUUUUCAAGAGGAUAUAUAAUGACUUUAGCCUAACAGUAUUCAAGGAAGCAUGGCAUUUACACACAGAGAAAUGGAUAUUAUAUAUUACAUAAGACUAACACAUCAUCAUAGUGAUACUAGGUCACAGCAACAAUCAGUUUUUAAAAAGAAUCAUAUCAAAGGAGUGACAAGAGCAAAUACAUAAGACUUUAUGGUGAGGUUUUGAUUGAAGGACCAUAAUUGCAGACUCUAAUUCAAACUAAUGUGGCUACUGUUGUGGGACUGCCUAGCCAGAUGUAUAAGGAACUUAAUGCUUUGUUAGGAUCAAAAGACAAGGAAGAUAGUGUUCUGACUGCUAACUCCUAUGUCCUGACUUCUACCCAUCAUACUAUAUUAAAGCUGGACAUGUAAUC